rnacentral:rRNA from 1 species
GUGGGGAAUAUUGGACAAUGGGCGAAAGCCUGAUCCAGCAAUGCCGCGUGAGUGAUGAAGGCCUUAGGGUUGUAAAGCUCUUUUACCCGGGAUGAUAAUGACAGUACCGGGAGAAUAAGCCCCGGCUAACUCCGUGCCAGCAGCCGCGGUAAUACGGAGGGGGCUAGCGUUGUUCGGAAUUACUGGGCGUAAAGCGCACGUAGGCGGCUUCCUAAGUCAGAGGUGAAAGCCUGGAGCUCAACUCCAGAACUGCCUUUGAGACUGGGUCGCUUGAAUCCGGGAGAGGUGAGUGGAAUUCCGAGUGUAGAGGUGAAAUUCGUAGAUAUUCGGAAGAACACCAGUGGCGAAGGCGGCUCACUGGACCGGCAUUGACGCUGAGGUGCGAAAGCGUGGGGAGCAAACAGGAUUAGAAACCCUAGUAGUCC